rnacentral:rRNA from 1 species
CCUACGGGUGGCAGCAGUGGGGAAUAUUGCACAAUGGGCGCAAGCCUGAUGCAGCCAUGCCGCGUGUGUGAAGAAGGCCUUCGGGUUGUAAAGCACUUUCAGCGGGGAGGAAGGCGGUGAGGUUAAUAACCUCAUCGAUUGACGUUACCCGCAGAAGAAGCACCGGCUAACUCCGUGCCAGCAGCCGCGGUAAUACGGAGGGUGCAAGCGUUAAUCGGAAUUACUGGGCGUAAAGCGCACGCAGGCGGUCUGUCAAGUCGGAUGUGAAAUCCCCGGGCUCAACCUGGGAACUGCAUUCGAAACUGGCAGGCUAGAGUCUUGUAGAGGGGGGUAGAAUUCCAGGUGUAGCGGUGAAAUGCGUAGAGAUCUGGAGGAAUACCGGUGGCGAAGGCGGCCCCCUGGACAAAGACUGACGCUCAGGUGCGAAAGCGUGGGGAGCAGACAGGAUUAGAUACCCGUGUAGUC